rfam:Schistosoma rodhaini strain Burundi genome assembly, scaffold: SROB_scaffold0018638
AUCCAGCUGACGAGUCCUACAUAGGACGACAAGCGCGUCCUGGAU